CGUAGGGACCGAGCGUUGUCCGGAUUCAUUGGGUGUAAAGAGCUCGUAGGCGGCCACUCAAGUCGAAUGUGAAACCUCGAGGCUUAACCUCGAGCCUGCAUCCGAUACUGGGCGGCGUAGAGUCUGGUAGGGGGAUCUGGAAUUCCUGGUGUAGCGGUGGAAUGCGCAGAUAUCAGGAGGAACACCGGUGGCGAAGGCGGGAUCCUGGGCCAGUACUGACGCUGAGGAGCGAAAGCGCGGGGAGCAAACAGGAUUAGAUACCCUGGUAGUCCACGCCGUAAACGAUGGGCGCUAGGUGUGGGAGGUCAUCGACUCCUUCCGUGCCGCAGCUAACGCAUUAAGCGCCCCGCCUGGGAGUACGGCCGCAAGGCUA
rnacentral:rRNA from 1 species